CCUGCAUAAAUACCGGGCAGGUAGCCCACAGUAAAUCAGUUCGUGUUUUACCCUCAAAGCGGAGCUUGGUCUCGUUAUUGGGGGGAUUUUAUUACCGGCGACUAGAGACUGUUUAUUUGGAUUAUUUGCCGCUUGGAAGAUAUUGGCGUUCGGCUAAUAUUGUCAGUUCGUGGAUUUGGAGUUCGUGAAGGGAAAGAGCCAUACAGGUACCGUUCGGGAGUUUGGAGUGUUCCCUAGCUGGCGGUUCGCAUGAUUAUACUGCAUACGCUACCAGACUACAUUAUUGCGAAUGGGGAGCAUUAACUAAAC